rnacentral:lncRNA from 1 species
GUUGUUCACGUUGGUCCCGUCCUCCCGCUCCUCCACGAUCCAGCGCGGGUCCCCCUGGCCCCACUUGGCCAUGGCGGCGCUGACGACGACGGCCCUGGUAGCGGGAGCGCGCGGGUUUCCGGCCAGAAGUGAUCCUCUAGAGACAAAAGAUCGUGCUUGCAAGUGCCUGGGAUUGUGGAUACAGUUACAAUAAGGGUUUAUUAAUUCUUUCCAUCGUUUUUCACCUUCUAGCAAAAACUGAAGCCACCAUCUGGAAAGUGUUUCUUAGGAGAUUAUUUUAACAAAUAAAAUAGGUAGUUCAAUGGGAGAUGGGGAAGGACCUGGCUGCUCUGUGCACUUGCCAUUCAGUGGUCUGCUUAUCAGCAAAACAAGCUGAAAGGGCUAUGGUGUUUAUUGGAGCUAUUGCAUUUCGAUGUGUUCUUCGAGAAGUUACAUCAUUCAAACUGCUGAAGCAAUGCUGUCCCCCCCCCCCAAAUCAAACGGCAUUGUUAGUUCAACUGAUCAUACCAAAGGCACAGCUGACAGAAGGCAAGACUCUAGCGAUGAUUGGCGUGUACUUUGUGUGCCUACUUUUCAUCCAGUUCUUCUGUUUGCUCCUGAUAAAACAUUUCAUGAUAAGAUUUAGAUAUGUUCAUUUGAACCUGACAGAAAAUAAGACUUCUGAGGGUAGAAGCUGCUACAAUCACUAAAAUGUAUAAAUACCAAAAUAUACAAGAACUACUCCCAGUAGAAAUAAAUUUACUGGAAUGUAACUCGAUUGUGAGUCUAGGAGACCAAUGGACCCUGAAGCACUCUUCAGAUCUGCGAUUUAAAAAUGACCUCCAAUAAGACAUUGCAAAAAUGGGAAAGAAACAAUGG